UCGGGGAUCGUCUAAUGGUAGGACUUUGGUUUCUGGUACCAACUAUCGGGGUUCGAAUCCCUGUCCCCGAG
rnacentral:tRNA from 1 species